CCUACGGGUGGCUGCAGUGGGGAAUAUUGGACAAUGGGCGAAAGCCUGAUCCAGCCAUGCCGCGUGUGUGAAGAAGGCCUUCGGGUUGUAAAGCACUUUCAGUGGGGAAGAAAGCCUUGGGGCUAAUACCCUCGAGGAAGGACAUCACCCACAGAAGAAGCACCGGCUAACUCCGUGCCAGCAGCCGCGGUAAUACGGAGGGUGCGAGCGUUAAUCGGAAUUACUGGGCGUAAAGCGCGCGUAGGCGGUCUGAUAAGCCGGUUGUGAAAGCCCAGGGCUCAACCUGGGAACGGCAUCCGGAACUGUCAGGCUAGAGUGCAGGAGAGGAAGGUAGAAUUCCCGGUGUAGCAGUGAAAUGCGUAGAGAUCGGGAGGAAUACCAGUGGCGAAGGCGGCCUUCUGGACUGACACUGACGCUGAGGUGCGAAAGCGUGGGUAGCAAACAGGAUUAGAUACCCGUGUAGUC
rnacentral:rRNA from 1 species